rnacentral:rRNA from 1 species
CAGUAGCAUCUACUAAAGUUGCUGCGGUUAAAAGGCUCGCAGUUGAAUGUCAGUAACAAGUGCAGCGAUGGUGGACGUUGGAGUGUGUCGCUCAUUGAGUGGCUGUCGCGUUCGCUCUAACGGGUGCGCGCGCGGUCAUUUGUGGCUUCACGUCUUACUCCCGUCCGUAACAAGCCUCCUCACUUGCUUACAAAAACGGAUUUGUGGUGUGUUUGCCGAGUCUCUGUAGCGUCGGUAACGGCGUUAUAUAUUCGGCUUACGCUUUGGAUUCAAGGUCACCUUGAGUAAAUCAAAGUGCUCAAAGCAGUCGUAAGGAACGUGUGGGUGGUAACAUUCGCAUGUUCUGUGAUAUGGAUGUCUUCAUUGACAGACAGUCUUGGUUUUGCAUGGUAUGUCGAAAGACGCCGUAUCUUGUCGGUUACGAGUCUUGUGCGGUGGUGUGUAAAUCGAACGUAUUCCCUCUGCUUCAUUCUUUCUUUGGGAGAGUGCGAGUACGGGUACGUAAGAGAGCCCACUCAAGACCACCAAGUGCGGAAUGAUUAAGAGACCCGGUCGAAGGCAUUGGUAUUGCGAGGCGAGAGGUGAAAUUCUAUGACCCCCGCAAGAC